rnacentral:rRNA from 1 species
CAAUAGCGUAUAUUAAAGUUGUUGCAGUUAAAAAGCUCGUAGUUGGAUUUCUGGUGGGAGCGAUCGGUCUGGCGCUAAGCGCGAGUACUUGCAUCGUCUCCGGCCAUCCUUGGGGAGAGUCUGUCUGGCAUUAGGUUGUCGGGCAGAGGAUCCUCAUCGUUUACUGUGAAAAAAUUAGAGUGUUCAAAGCAGGCUUAUGCCGUUGAAUAUAUUAGCAUGGAAUAAUAAGAUAGGACUUUGGUACUAUUUUGUUGGUUUGCGCACCAAAGUAAUGAUUAAUAGGGACAGUUGGGGGUAUUCGUAUUCCGUUGUCAGAGGUGAAAUUCUUGGAUUUACGGAAGACGAACUACUGCGAAAGCAUUUACCAAGGAUGUUUUCAUUAA